rnacentral:rRNA from 1 species
CUUCGGGUGAGCGGCGGACGGGUUAGUAACGCGUGGGAACGUGCCCUUCUCUACGGAAUAGCCUCGGGAAACUGAGAGUAAUACCGUAUACGCCCUUCGGGGGAAAGAUUUAUCGGAGAAGGAUCGGCCCGCGUUAGAUUAGAUAGUUGGUGGGGUAAUGGCCUACCAAGUCUACGAUCUAUAGCUGGUUUUAGAGGAUGAUCAGCAACACUGGGACUGAGACACGGCCCAGACUCCUACGGGAGGCAGCAGUGGGGAAUCUUAGACAAUGGGCGCAAGCCUGAUCUAGCCAUGCCGCGUGUGUGAUGAAGGUCUUAGGAUCGUAAAGCACUUUCGCCAGGGAUGAUAAUGACAGUACCUGGUAAAGAAACCCCGGCUAACUCCGUGCCAGCAGCCGCGGUAAUACGGAGGGGGUUAGCGUUGUUCGGAAUUACUGGGCGUAAAGCGUACGUAGGCGGAUCAGAAAGUUAGGGGUGAAAUCCCGAGGCUCAACCUCGGAACUGCCUCUAAAACUCCUGGUCUUGAGUUCGAGAGAGGUGAGUGGAAUUCCAAGUGUAGAGGUGAAAUUCGUAGAUAUUUGGAGGAACACCAGUGGCGAAGGCGGCUCACUGGCUCGAUACUGACGCUGAGGUACGAAAGUGUGGGGAGCAAACAGGAUUAGAUACCCUGGUAGUCCACACCGUAAACGAUGAAUGCCA